CAAUCUGCAUUGAACCAUGAGUCAAGUUCUUGAUAAAGGAGUGAAAAUGGUAAGUCUAAAGCAAUGAAAAGCUGCUGUAUUGACUACACAUGCCUUCAUUUCUUCUACCCUGCUUCUUUCAUGCCUGCUUAUCUGAAUGACACCAGGAUGACAUUUAAGGCACAUCUGAAGAUGGGGAAACCACAGCACAGAAUAAGGCUGGGCCCUUGAAUCAAUAAAUGAAGGAGAACUACUCAAGAGAACAAAACCACCAGCAAUAUCCACCUGUAUUUGUCUUUUCAUAAUGUGUGACACAUGUGCUCAUGGAUUAUUGUCCGAAGCAAGACAUGUGACCAAGCCUAACAUCAACUGGGUGAAGAGCUAUAUGUUCCUUUCUCAAGAGGCACUACAAGUGACAUGCCACUGGGCAGUUUAGCAAAAGCUGGAGGUGCCUUGACAUUUGCAGUACACUGAAACAGUGGCUGGCUUGAAAAAUCCCAAAACGAUUUUCUGCAGGAGAGCCCUUUUGACUAAUAUGAGGUAAGUUUCUACAAAAUAAUAAUGUGUAAAAUCAUCACCUUCUACUCUAAAAUUUCUGGGUUUAUUUUUUGUCAGUUUGUUUAUUUCAAGGAAGAUAAAGAUAUUUACAAUGAGCUGGAAUACUAUGAGUUUCUAUUCUGAAUCAUUUAAUAUAUGAAAAAAUGUUGAGCAGGUUAAUUUUAAAAAAUCAUUUUAUACUUAGGCAUUUAGCAUCUGUUUUAUUUCUUAGAGUCUUAUAAGACUGACAAAAUAUCUUCUGGUCCAUUCAACAUACAAGCA
rnacentral:lncRNA from 1 species